GCUGAUAAGCAGCAAGAAGCGUGCGUCACAUUUCCAGUAGGCGUGGAUGCAGUAGAUGAAAUAAUAGAGUAGUAUAUGCCAUCGGACUGUCAAUUAUAGCGGAGGCGCCCAAAGAUAAGCUACACAGAUGAUGAUCAGCAACGAACCAAGCAACCUCAAUUAGAGACACCGGAUUCUGCAAAAGCCUUUCAGUCAGACUACCACUAUUUCAAGCGCACCAGAAAGAAAUGAGGGCUGCUGUGACAGUACUCCUUAUCGCACUAACAGGAAUUCUAAUUUUGGCGGAGAAGUCAUGCACUGCCAUUACCUGCGGAGAGCCUCCAGAAGGGUGCCCGCCCCCCACAGCUGAGAAGAACGUCACGCUCUAUUUCUACAGCUACGCAAUUAACGACUGCUUCGGCGUCGACACCAGCGGCUGCGAAGGCUACGGAUGGGGAACUCAUUUCGAUUGCUGGGCGAACUGUCGCCACAUUUAGGCGGUCGCAUUCUUGCUUACGUCACAAUAACCUCAACGGCCGCCCAUUGGGUAUGACAACAGUAUGCUAAUAGAAGAAAUAGCAGCCAUACAGGUGUGACUUAAAGCAGUCCAAAGAAGAGCACUUUAUUUUUUUCCUUACUCACGCAAAGAUUAUGUUGGCACAGUAUGGGCCUAAAUCUUUUAUUUGUUUGAAGUUUGAAGUUUAUUUCUUUCUUCAUUACAGAAAGUGGAAACAAGAGCUAAGGGCCAUAUGGCCUGACACGGGCUCUUGCUCCUAAGCGCGUUCGGCUUACAUGAUAAUUGAAUGUACGGAAAAAGCAAAUAUAACAAGAACUAGCAAGUAAGUACGAUGUAGAAAAUGCAAAUGAACAAGAUAGUUUGUACAUUACACAAUGACUAUGUUCGUUAACAAUGACUUGUUCGGAACAGAAAUAUUUAAUAAAUGCCGUUCUUUACUUCA